rnacentral:rRNA from 1 species
UACGAGGGGGCAAGCGUUGUUCGGAAUUAUUGGGCGUAAAGGGCGCGUAGGCGGUGCGGUAAGUCACCUGUGAAAACUCUGGGCUCAACUCAGAGCCUGCAGGCGAAACUGCCGUGCUUGAGUGUGGGAGAGGUGCGGUGGAAUUCCCGGUGUAGCGGAUGAAAUGCGUAGAUAUCGGGAGGAACACCUGUGGCGAAAGCGGCGCACUGGACCACAACUGACGCUGAGGCGCGAAAGCUAGGGGAGCAAACAGG